CCAAAUAGGGUAGGAAUCCCCACGGAGCAGCGAGAGCUGCGGAGCAUCCCCGGGGUGCGAAGGGAGGACACCGACAGAGAAUCCCUUGGGUCAACGAGCGCCGAGAGCGACCGAGCAUCCCCGUGGUGAGGACGACGGUGCCAGGAGCAGCACGGAGAGUGAGAUAGCAUCCCCCGGAGGGUAGGGAUCCCCACGGAGAGCGGCGGAGCAUCCCCGGGGUGAGAAAGGAAGACACGGACAGAGCAUCCCCCGGGGCAGCAAGCACCGAGAGCGGCCGAGCACCGCCCCAGAGCGAGGGACACGGAACCGGGAGCACCACGGGGACCCAUGGAGCAUCCACCCGGGUCAGCGGUGAAGAGGGUGCCGGGAUCGGGCGGGAGGAGCACGGACACCCACCGGAUCAUCCCCCACAGGGUAGGAAUCCCCACGGAGCAGCGAGAGCGUCGGAGCAUCCCCGGG